rnacentral:rRNA from 1 species
UACGUAGGGGGCAAGCGUUGUCCGGAUUAUUGGGCGUAAAGAGCUCGUAGGUGGUUCGGUAAGUCGGAUGUGAAAUCUCCAGGCUCAACCUGGAGGGGUCAUUCGAUACUGCCGUGACUAGAGGUCGGUAGGGGAGUGUGGAAUUCCUGGUGGAGCGGUGAAAUGCGCAGAUAUCAGGAGGAACACCGAUGGCGAAGGCAGGUCUCUGGGCCGAUACUGACGCUGAGGAGCGAAAGCGUGGGGAGCGAACAGG